rnacentral:rRNA from 1 species
AUGGAGCAUGACUUGGUUAAGGCAAGAAAUAUGAAGCUGGUUUUAUGCCUAUUUGAACAAUUGACCGGGUUAAAGAUAAACUUUCAUAAGAGCGAGCUGUUCUGUUUUGGUAGGGCCAAAGAUGAACAGGACGCUUAUAGGCAAUUGUUUGGAUGUGAGUUGGGAGAGCUACCUUUCUCAUACUUGGGGAUUCCUAUCCACCAUCGUAGGCUAACAAACAGAGAAUGGAAGUGCAUUGAGGACCGAUUUAAGAAGAAACUGAGCUGCUGGAAGGGCAAGCUCAUGUCAUAUGGAGGCCGGUUAAUCCUAAUUAACUCGGUACUCACAAGUUUGCCGAUGUUUCUUCUUUCGUUCUUUGAGGUACCAGUUGGUGUUAGGAAGAGACUGGACUUCUAUAGAUCGCGGUUCUUCUGGCAGGGUGAUGAGCUUAAAAGAAAAUAUAGGCUUGCUAAGUGGGAUAUCAUUUGUAGACCGAAGGACCAAGGGGGUCUAGGUAUUGAGAAUCUCGAAAUUAAGAAUAAAUGCCUUCUUAGCAAGUGGUUGUGGAAGCUUUCGUCGGAGACUGAUGCUAUGUGGGCACAGAUCCUUCGCGGCAAGUACCUCCAGUCAAAAACUUUGUCACAGGUAUCUGUAAGGCCGACUGACUCGCCUUUCUGGAAGGGUCUCAUGAAGGUCAAGCAGGCAUUGUUUAAUAGGACAAAGUUCGUUGUUGGAAACGGCACAAGUACACGUUUCUGGGAGGAUACUUGGCUCGGUGACACACCCUUGGCCAUCCAAUAUCCCUCUUUGUAUCGCAUUGUU